rnacentral:misc_RNA from 1 species
AAGUCGUAACAAGGUUUCCGUAGGUGAACCUGCGGAAGGAUCAUUAACACGUAUCCAACGUUAAACCCCCCUGUGAACCUUUAGCGCAGCUCUUGCAGCCUCUAUAGGAACAGCAAUCCUGGUAAAUCAGUCCGAGAAAAGCUUUGAUUCAGGACCUCUGUCUAAAAGGAUGCAAUCGAGCGCUGGAGUAAGUGGCUUGGUUUCCCCAAGCACUUAGCAUCUGAAAGUGUUGCUAAGUGUGUAAGGAUAACGCUUUACGAUUGCUGUAGGCCGAACACCGGCCGGCGACUCGGCCACUGGGCUCACGCCCCCUAAUCACGCCAAAGAGUUAUCUAUAACGGACGCCUCCACAGCAAGUGCGCCGGAGCUUACGUCCAAAACCGAACAACUGUUAACAAUGGAUAUCUUGGUUCUC